rnacentral:lncRNA from 1 species
GGUCUUUUCCAGGAACCCGUGAAAGAAUCAAGAGCGACCAAGAAGUGUCCCACAAGUGUCUCCACUGAUUUAGACAGCAUAACAAAACUAAACUGAGAGAGUUGACAGGGAGGCAAACCAGGGAAGCAAGGGGAUUUUACAUCCAGGGCACGGCAGCCGAAUAAACAUCUGAAGAUUGAAUCCUGGGCAAGAAAUCUUAGAUGAAUGAUAGCCACUGGCAUUGUACUCAAGUGACAUUUUCUGGAGGCUGAUUCCAGGAUGCAUUUUUGAAACCCGGUUGGCAAGUUUCCCUGACUAUGGCUUUGGCUGAUCCUCCCCUACAAGCAUAGCUUGAUGUUACUGCACGCUACUUUGGUCUCUGCUGAUGAGGGAAGAGAAACCCGGGGAUCUUCAUUUAUUUAAAAGCUUAACUUAGAGGAUAAGAUCAGUGAACCAGUGCUGCUGCUGUUGAAGGAGAAGAAGAGAAAGAAACCGAAACUCGAUACCCCAAGUCACUCAGUUCUGCGAGGAGCCUCUCAGUUCCCUGGUGACACAGCUCCGUCAAGGCCGCCGCGACCAAGAGAUCAUCCACAUACUGUAGUAAGGAUUUGAAAAUGGAAUUCAAUAAUAAUAUAGAACCAUUGAAGAGGACUCAAGAGUAAAUGAAGAUGGGAUUGAAAACAUAAUAGAACAACUACAGAACUCAAUGGGAAGGCUUACAAAUAAAAUGAAUCAAGUAGAAGAUGUGAAUGUGUGAUUGUGUGUGUGUAAAGUAUUUGUUUAAACUGUACAAUGUGUGUAAAAUAUUUGUUUACUUUGUUCUGACUUCUGGUAUACUCUGUGUUACAACCAAACUGUAGUCCAUUAAAAAUUUAGUUGGCCAUGUUA